AUUUGUUUCUGUAACUGUCACGUACAUUUAUAUAUGAGAUUUACAGGUCUUUUUAUCUGUCACUUCAUUCAAGAGCUGAGAGCAUUUAAUUAAGUUAUGCUUUCACAAAACACUUCUUGUUCUAAAGAAUAAAAUAGUCAUGUGAAAUAAAACAUGUCUCUUUUUUACUUUCUUAUUAAGAUUGCAAGGCACACUUCCAAAUGACUGGACACACCUAGACCCUGCUUCAACAGGCAGCUUCCAAUUCAGCACCUAACAAAGCUCAUACCACUAUUUUUAUUGGUGCAACAGCAGAUGCCUGCAUAGAUACCUCGAAAAUUGGUCUUAAAACAUAAAAUAGAAACUAUUUCUUCACUGACUUCCGACUAUGUUCAAACCUAGGGCUGAGACCUCAGAACCACUUCUACGACCAAAGAGCCUAUUCAGAAGGUACAGUUUCAUAAUGCUAUGCUGUCAUUUUGAGAAACCACCGUUUUACUUAGUCUUCUUGUACACCAAAAACCUUAGACCAAAGCAUAAAAUGCAGCAGUGUUCAAUCUUUUAUCAUUACACUGCAAUAAAUAUUCUUAAAUUUAGCACCAAA